GGAAAAACAGACUUCAAGAAGCAUCAUGGUGAAGACCAUCUUGCUUAAACACUGCUGAUUUCAGUUACAGGAGGCACCCUGCUGUAGUACUGUAGAGUAACCUAAUCAUUCUGCGUUGGAAGCUGGGUAUUUGCAGGAGGCCAUGCCACCGUCUCGAGUGAUCGACCAUGUGCAGUGGAAAGGCUUCAUACAAAAAUGUGAUCUAACAGGUAGCACCCCCACAGAGACCAGAUGAAUUUAACAAGGACCCCAAACUGCACAUCUUCUGAACUGAUCCCGUUCUGAUUGUUCUGAAGAUCAAAGCCCAUUCGGUAAAAAAAAUUACAUGGCAUGCUAAAAUUAUUUUUUGCCUCUGUGAAUUCUUUAAUCAAAAGAAACUGGUAUAUAGUAACACAAUUUUCUCAUUUAUAAAGCCUGACAUUUUAAUGAUGUAGUUGAGGUUAAAGACUACACAAGGAUAGGAGAGUCAUACUUGGGUUUUACUCCUACAACCCUCAGGCACAAACACUCUUUCUCAAUCAUUACAUCUGAUGUUUUGUAAGUAGAGUUAUUUCAAGUUUUUUAUAUAACACAUUUACAGGAACAGUAGGAUGCCCUACCUGUCU
rnacentral:lncRNA from 1 species